GCCCUGUACCAACGACGAUAACACUAACGGAAGUAUGACUAAUACGAGAUAAUAUGCUUUUUAUCGCAUGGUAGAAGUAUCAAAGCUCCGGCGGUACAGGAUGGACCCGCGUCUGAUUAGCUAGUUGGUAAGGUAACGGCUUACCAAGGCGACGAUCAGUAGCCGACCUGAGAGGGUGAUCGGCCACAUUGGAACUGAGACACGGUCCAAACUCCUACGGGAGGCAGCAGUGGGGAAUAUUGCACAAUGGGCGAAAGCCUGAUGCAGCGACGCCGCGUGAGCGAUGAAGGCCUUCGGGUCGUAAAGCUCUGUCCUCAAGGAAGAUAAUGACGGUACUUGAGGAGGAAGCCCCGGCUAACUACGUG
rnacentral:rRNA from 1 species